rnacentral:rRNA from 1 species
GACGAACGCUGGCGGCGUGCCUAAUACAUGCAAGUAGAACGCUGAAGAGAGGAGCUUGCUCUUCUUGGAUGAGUUGCGAACGGGUGAGUAACGCGUAGGUAACCUGCCUGGUAGCGGGGGAUAACUAUUGGAAACGAUAGCUAAUACCGCAUAAAAUUGAUUAUUGCAUGAUAAUUAAUUGAAAGAUGCAACUGCAUCACUACCAGAUGGACCUGCGUUGUAUUAGCUAGUUGGUGAGGUAACGGCUCACCAAGGCGACGAUACAUAGCCGACCUGAGAGGGUGCUCGGCCACGCUGGGACUGGGACACGGCCCAGACUCCUACGAGAGGCAGCAGUAGGGAAUCUUCGGCAAUGGGGGGAACCCUGACCGAGCAACGCCGCGUGAGUGAAGAAGGUUUUCGGAUCGUAAAGCUCUGUUGUAAGAGAAGAACGGGUGUGAGAGUGGAAAGUUCACACUGUGACGGUAUCUUACCAGAAAGGGACGGCUAACUACGUG